UUAGCAGAUCCUUUUGCCGUGGAAAAAGAACAUUCAGUUUGAAAUCAGGCACAGUGAAGGAGUGAGAUGUGAAGGUGCUCUGUCAUUGCCUCAGUCAAGACUUUCAUGGUACAUUGGAAGAAAGAGAAGCGUGAACAAAUUGCAUGAUACUUGAGGUCAUGCUGUGUACCUGUAUUGAACAAGAAUAAGGGAAGAAAGCUGGGAACCUGGAUCUCCCAUAUAUUGGAAGUUUUGUAAAAACCUUGAGGGUCCCUUCCACUACAUAUGGGGAUUAUGGGAACUGCAAUUCAAGAUGAGAUUUGAGUGAGGACACAGCCAAACCACAUGGUUUUAGAACAUUGACGAAGAGAGAAGACAACCCACUUUGCCAUAUAUGCCCAUGGUCUUACCAAGGCUAGAGUACAGUGGAAGAUCUGGCAAGAGUUAGCAUGCAGGUCUACAUUGUGACAAUCCAUGAGAGCUAAGGACUGGCUGUCUCUUGGGACAAAUAGGCUU
rnacentral:lncRNA from 10 species